rnacentral:tRNA from 1 species
GCCCAGAUCGCAUAGUGGUUAUUGCACCAGAUUGCUAAUCUGGACCCUUCGGGGUGCGCAGGUUCGAAUCCUGCUCUGGGCG